AGUCGAGAAUCUUCGGCAAUGAGCGCAAGCUUGACCGAGCGACGCCGCGUGCGGGAUGAAGGCCUUCGGGUUGUAAACCGCGAAAGUAGGGAGGAAAUUGCUAGGGGUUCUCCCCUAGUAUUGACCUAUCUUCAGUAAGGACGGGCUAAGUUCGUGCCAGCAGCCGCGGUAAUACGAACCGUCCAAACGUUAUUCGGAUUUAUUGGGCUUAAAGGGUAUGUAGGCGGCCCUUCAAGUCGGGUGUGAAAGCCCUCGGCUCAACCGAGGAACAGCGCCCGAUACUGUAGGGCUUGAGGGAGACAGAGGUAAGCGGAACUGAUGGUGGAGCGGUGAAAUGCGUUGAUAUCAUCAGGAACACCAGUGGCGAAAGCGGCUUACUGGGUCUCUUCUGACGCUGAGAUACGAAAGCUAGGGGAGCGAA
rnacentral:rRNA from 1 species